rnacentral:rRNA from 1 species
UACGGAGGAUGCAAGCGUUAUCCGGAUUUAUUGGGUUUAAAGGGUGCGCAGGUUGUUUGAUAAGUCAGUGGUGAAAGUCUGUCGCUUAACGGUAGGAUUGCCAUUGAUACUGUUAGACUUGAAUAUGGAUGAGGUAGGCGGAAUGUGUAGUGUAGCGGUGAAAUGCAUAGAUAUUACACAGAACACCGAUUGCGAAGGUAGCUUACUAAUCCAUCAUUGACGCUGAGGCACGAAAGCGUGGGGAUCAAACAGGA